AUACGGAGGAUGCGAGCGUUAUCCGGAUUUAUUGGGUUUAAAGGGAGCGUAGGUGGGAUAUUAAGUCAGCUGUGAAAGUUUGGGGCUCAACCUUAAAAUUGCAGUCGAUACUGGUUUCCUUGAGUACGGUACAGGUGGGCGGAAUUCGUGGUGUAGCGGUGAAAUGCUUAGAUAUCACGAAGAACUCCGAUCGCGAAGGCAGCUCACCGGGCCGGAACUGACACUGAUGCUCGAAAGUGCGGGUAUCAAACAGGAUUAGAUACCCUGGUAGUCCGCACAGUAAACGAUGAAUACUCGCUGUUUGCGAUACACGGUAAGCGGCCAAGCGAAAGCGUUAAGUAUUCCACCUGGGGAGUACGCCGGCAACGGUGAAACUCAAAUGAAUUGGCGGGG
rnacentral:rRNA from 1 species